GACUUCUGGUGUAAUGUGCCUGGCCCGCGGCUCUUUAGGCUUGUGAGUGCCGGAGCGCGUUUACCAUCCUUCUGGGGAACGAGUCUACCGUUUACUCGGCCGGAUUCGGGAUCCAGAUCAUUUACUUUGAAAAAAUUAGAGUGCUAUGAAUACAUUAGCAUGGAAUAAUAAUCUAGGACUUCGGUUCUAUUUUGUUGGUUUCUAAAGCUGAAGUAAUGAUAGUAUUGGCCGGUCAGAGGUGAAAUUCUUGGAUUCGGUCAAGACUAACUUAUGCGAAAGCAUU
rnacentral:rRNA from 1 species